GUAGGUUAGUGAAGAUCUCCCCCGCCCUCUCCGUCACGCGGCAGCUAACAGUAUUCUAGGUGAACCUGCGGAAGGAUCAUUACCGAGCGAGGGUCCCAGCGGCCCGACCUCCCACCCCAUGUGUACCCUCCACGUUGCUUUGGCGGGCGGCCUCGGCCCCCGCCAGAGACCCCACCGGAGACGGUGGCAGCAAACCCUUCAAUUGUGAAGUCUGAGAAGAUAUGAAAUGACCAAAACUUUCAACAACGGA
rnacentral:misc_RNA from 1 species